rnacentral:tRNA from 1 species
GCCUCGUGGUUUAAUGGUAAAACACUCGGCGCGUAUUCGAGAGGUCUAGGUUCGAGUCCCGGCAAGAGCA